CCUACGGGUGGCAGCAGUGAGGAAUAUUGGUCAAUGGACGCAAGUCUGAACCAGCCAUGCCGCGUGCAGGAAGACGGCUCUAUGAGUUGUAAACUGCUUUUGUACGAGGGUAAACGCAGAUACGUGUAUCUGUCUGAAAGUAUCGUACGAAUAAGGAUCGGCUAACUCCGUGCCAGCAGCCGCGGUAAUACGGAGGAUUCAAGCGUUAUCCGGAGUUAUUGGGUUUAAAGGGGGCGUAGGCGGUUGGAUAAGGUAGAGGGGAAAUCCCGAGGCUCAACUUCGGAAUUGCCUUUGAUACUGUUAGGCUAGAGAGUAAUUGCGGUAGGCGGAAUGUAUGGUGUAGCGGGGAAAUGCUUAGAGAUCAUACAGAACAACGAUUGCGAAGGCAGCUUACCAAGCUACUUCUGACGUUGAGGCACGAAAGCGUGGGGAGCAAACAGGAUUAGAUACCCCAGUAGUC
rnacentral:rRNA from 1 species